GAGGAGAGAGAGAUGAGUGAGGGACAGAGGAGCUGAUCCAGUCUACUACAGUGAAGACCUACAACACCAUGACGUUCUGAUGAACAGUGUCACUAGGUACAGAGAGAGGAGAGAGAGAUGAGUGAGGGACAGAGGAGCUGAUCCAGUCUACUACAGUGAAGACCUCCAACACCAUGACGUUCUGAUGAACAGGGUCACUAGGUACAGAGAGAGGAGAGAGAGAUGAGUGAGGGACAGAGGAGCUGAUCCAGUCUACUACAGUGAAGACCUCCAACACCAUGACGUUCUGAUGAACAGGGUCACUAGGUACAGAGAGAGGAGAGAGAGAUGAGUGGGGGACAGAGGAGCUGAUCCAGUCUACUACAGUGAAGACCUACAACACCAUGACGUUCUGAUGAACAGGGUCACUAGGUACAGAGAGAGGAGAGAGAGAUGAGUGAGGGACAGAGGAGCUGAUCCAGUCUACUACAGUGAAGACCUCCAACACCAUGACGUUCUGAUGAACAGGGUCACUAGGUACAGAGAGAGGAGAGAGAGAUGAGUGGGGGACAGAGGAGCUGAUCCAGUCUACUACAGUGAAGACCUACAACACCAUGACGUUCUGAUGAACAGGGUCACUAGGUACAGAGAGAGGAGAGAGAGAUGAGUGAGGGACAGAGGAGCUGAUCCAGUCUACUACAGUGAAGACCUCCAACACCAUGACGUUCUGAUGAACAGGGUCACUAGGUACAGAGAGAGGAGAGAGAGAUGAGUGAGGGACAGAGGAGCUGAUCCAGUCUACUACAGUGAAGACCUCCAACACCAUGACGUUCUGAUGAACAGGGUCACUAGGUACAGAGAGAGGAGAGAGAGAUGAGUGAGGG